rnacentral:misc_RNA from 1 species
GGGGGUUUUAUUUUUUGCAGGCUUUGGAAACAAGGUCUGCUCCCCUGAAAUGCAUUAGUGGUAUCUGAGCAGUAACUACUACAGGUGUGAUAAUUUAUCUAUGCCUUUGGUUACCACUGCGUGAACAGAUUACACUGCUUCUGAAAUCAUGUUUUGACAAAUUUGACCUCAAAUCAGGUAGGACUACCCGCUGAACUUAA